AUGAGGAGAACCAAAGGAGAAUGCACUAGAUGGCAUGGUGAAAAAUGUGUGUCCCUAAAAAUAAAGGGGAUGUGUUUUCGCGAUAUUCACUGUUUCAACUUGGCAAUCCUUGCCAAACAAGCUUGGCGUCUUCUUGAGAAUCCCGACUCCUUAUGUGCUACUAUUCUGAGGGCUAAGUACUAUCCAAAUGGCGAUAUGUUGAAUUCUAAGUUAAAGAAGGGCUCCUCUUUUCUCUGGCAAAGUAUUAUGGCAGGUGUGAAUACUUUGAAACGUGGCUAUAUUUGGCAACUAGGAAGGUGGUUACUUCGAAGGGGUACAACUGUUAUCUAA
rnacentral:rRNA from 1 species